rnacentral:rRNA from 1 species
GAUCCUGGCUCGGGAUGAACGCUGGCGGCGUGCCUAACACAUGCAAGUCGAACGGAGUUAUGAUGUGAGCGGGAAGUGCUUGCACUAAACAAUCUUUUCAUAACUUAGUGGCGGACGGGUGAGUAACGCGUGGGUAACCUGCCCUGUACUGGGGGACAACAGUUGGAAACGACUGCUAAUACCGCAUAAGCGCACGGGAUCGCAUGACUCCAGUGUAAGAAAACCGUCCGGUGGUACGAGGAGUCGGACCCGCG